UUUUUUUUUUUUUAAGUUCAGCUAGCAAGAUCUAAGCAACGAUUCGACGAUUGGUACAAUGGAUCAGUACCAUUGACGAGUAGAAAAAUAUAUCUUAGAUUCAACUUGAUUUGAUGGCCAGUGACGGAAAUUGGAGAAAAAAAUUAUUUAAAUUUUGAUUCGUUGAUUAUAACGUUCAAAGUUGUUUCAUUAAAAUGAAAAACUAAACUAUAGAAGAGAAAUGAAAGAAGAGAUUUCGAUUGGUGCAAUAGUGCAAUCGAAAAAAGUCAUCCAAUAGUAAUUUAAUAGCCCAAUGACAUAAAUGAAAACUUUCGAAUAGUUCAGUAACUAUUUUAUAACUUUUUAAAGUUGAGUGACCAAAAUAUAAACUUACUAAUAAUGUAAUGAACUUAAGUGUAGUUCACCCUUAAAUUAAAUUAUUGGUUUGCAUUUAAUGUAUUAUUAUGGUAUAAAUUCAAUCCAUGUGUUUUAAUCUCAUUAAUAGUUGAACAUAUCGGUAAAACAAAUAAUUUUCAGAUUAAGGAUUUGACCUUAUCAAUGAUGAUUAAGGAUAAAAUAAAUUUUUAUCUACUUAAUAAUCAUAUAUUAUCAUAUAGUUAAGUAUCGAAACCUGCUAAUCAUGCAUCUAUUAGUUUGUGGACAUAUAAACUUAUUUCCAAAAGACUAUCUUCACAUAAUUGAAUUUUUUUAAUAAUUUCACUAUAGAUUUCGAUUGUACAUGCUCUUUUUUAACACAAUGCUUAAAAUUAUCCAUAGUCUCUCCCCAAUCCAUAGAUAGAAGGAUAAGCGCACUGAAACCCACGUCCUUCUGCAUUGAUAAUGUCGUAACCAUUUUUUUGGAAAAACGAGAAUCGGCUUGGAUUUUGAAAAUAAAAACGAAUAGAGGAGUCGCCACCAAUCCUUUUUGAUUAGGUGUGAUCGGGUCACCUUUAAAUUAACUAUUUUAAUAAAAGUUAAGAUUUAUCAAAAUGAUAAUUUUGGGUCUACGAAACUCAGAAAAUGAGUUCGAGAGUCGGUUACACAUGAGGAAGGAUUAGCACCCUCGAUACGCCCAAAAUUGGUACCUAGUUGAUUAAUUAAUGUCUUAAGAUCGAAGAUUGAAAACUUUGAAGACUUUUGAAAUACGAUCAUUCUUUGUAAAAAGCUCAGGUGAUAAAGACCUUCUCGUCUCAAAAUAUGAAAUGUCACAUCCAGUAAGUUAGGACAUGAUAUCUUAAAUUUCCGAGAGCGAGCUUGCCUUUUAUAAAAUCUGUGUAUUUUAUUAAAAGGGUAUUCGAUUAUUUAGAGUAAACGAGAGAAGUCGAAACCCAGUAAGUUAGGGCAUGUUUUCCUGAAUUUUCGAACACCGAAUAUUGUCUUUAUUUCAAAACAAAUUCUUAUUUUGAGAUGACAAAAAGUCAUACCCGGUAAGUUAGGGCACAACACUUCGCAUCUUCGAGAAUAAGCAUUUUUCAAAACUCGUAUAGCGAUUUAAAAUAGUAAUCCGUUAUUUAGGUUAAAUGAAAAAAAAUCAAAACCCAGUAAGUUAGGGCACGAUUGUCUCAAAUUACCAAAUACGGAAUAUCACUUUUAUGAAAGAUUUAUUUUAAGGUAUCAAGUAAAAAAAUAUAAUGUGAUUUAUUGAAAAAAUAUAAAACCAAAUCGUGGUGCUAAUACACAAUAAUAAGUGCGACAGUAUCAAUAACAAUGGUAUAAGUGAUUAUAAAAGGAUGAAAGCAAGGCUAGCAAUAUAGAAAUAUAAAACACAAGCAUAAGGCAAAUGAAAUGAUCGAAUAAAAAUAAAUAAAGCAUGGCAAAAUAAAAUGACAAUGAUGACGAAAACGAUAAAAAUAAUAAUAAUUUAAAUAAUAAUAGCAUAAAAUGAUAAUAAUAAAUGUGGUAUUAAAAUAUAUACGUGAUAAUAGAAAUGUAACGACCCAAAUUUUACCGUUACCGAAAAAGUGUAUUUUUGGAUCUCCGUUUCUAAAAAACGGAUUCGUAAAUAUUUAUUAAAAAUAUUUACGAAGUAAAAUGAGUGGUUAAUUAGAGUUUAAUUAAGUGAAUUUAAUUUAAUUAAUAGUAAUUAAGAAAAAGGACUAAAUUGAAUAAGAGGUAAAAGUUGAAUUAUAGAUUAAAAGAAAAUAAAAAGGACUAAAAAGGAAAUUAUACAAAAAGUAUAAAUUGAGGUGGUUUACCGUGAAGAAAAUCUAAGAUUUUUUUUAUGUUUAGUAUAUUAUUAUAUUAUUAUAUAAUAAAGAUAUUUUAUGUUUUAAUUAUAUUAUAUUAUAUUAUAUUAUAUUAUAUAAACUAAAGAAAGGAAAUAGAAACAGAAUGAAACGAAACAGAGAGCAGGGGAGAAAAAGAAAGAAAGAAAGGGAGAAAAGAGAAAAUUUAAGGUUUGAAGCUUUAAGCUUUAAUAGGUAAGUCAAUCAAGCCCUUUUUACUUAAUUUUGAUGUUUUAGAAGUUUUAGAACAAAGUUUUGAUGAAAUUAAGUUGAUAUUUUGAUAGUUAUUAGAUUUCUAGAUAUUUUCCAUGUUAAAUAAAAUGAUGAAUUAAGGGCUAAAUUGAUAGAAAUUCAAGUUAAAAAUGAUACAAGGAUUGAAUUGUAAAGUGAUUCAUAAGUUUUAUGCUUUAAGGACUAAAUUGAAAGAAUUUUUGAAAUUAUGGUUUUAUGAUGAAAAAUAGAUAAUUAUGUCUAAUUUUGGUUAAAAAUUGAGUAGAAAUAAAGUAUGAAUUAAGAUAGAAAAGUAAGUGAAUUUAGUUAGAAUUAAAUUGAAAUUAAAGUAGAAAAUCAACAUUUUGUACUAAGACUAUUUUGGACAGUAGCAAUAGUCUAAGUUUGAAAAAUCACCAAAAAUUGUAGAAAUUGAAUUAGAGGAUAAAUAAAAUAUUUAUUUAAAUCUUAUUGAGUCUAGUUUCUUAUAGAAGAAAUGGUAUAAGCAAUUGAAUUGUAAAUUAUGAGAUAUAAUGAAUUUUGUGAGACAAGGUCAGAAUGAAUUCGGGUUUCCCUGUUCUGACUUUGGAAAAUCACCAAAAAUUUAAUAAAAAUAAUUAGAGGCUUAAAGUUAUAUGUUUAUAAUCCCUAAUGAGUCUAUUUUCAGGAGAAAUCAAUGGGAAUAUUAUUCGAGUUCUGUACUGUGAGAUAAUUAAUUUUUAGUGAAGAAGAGUCGAAACUGUCAGACAGCAGAAUAGGGGUAAAUUUAAAGAAUAAACUGUAUUUAAUGGCUAAAUGAAAAAUUCUGAAAAUUUUAUGGUAAGAAUAUUUGUGAGUCUAGUUUUAGGAAAAAUUAGCGGAUAUUAAUUUAAAAUUCUGUAACUCAAGAUAUAAAUUAGUAAUGUAAUAAUGGUUAUGAAUUAUAUUAAAUUAUGAAUUAAUGUGAAAAAUUGAGAUAUAUAUAUUGAAUUGAAUGAGAUUGUGAAAAUUUGUGAAUAUAUGUAAUUAUUGGAAUGGUAUAUUAAGGAAAGAAUUAUUGAAUUGAGAAAGUGAAUUAUAAUUGAUACUGAACUAAGAUAGAAAUUAUACUGAAAAGUGAAUUAAAUACCCUAUUAACUAGUCGGACUGAGUCGGAUAUAAUUGGCAUGCCAUAGGAUUUAGAAGUGUUCAGGCACUGAGUGCCAUACUGGUGUGUUUGGUUGGAAUCCGCAUAUCCGCCAAAGUCCGAGUCUUGUUAAUAGGGAUAAAUAUGAAUAUUAAGUAAAAUUGAAAUAAGAAUUAAAUUCCCUAUUAACUUGUCGGGCUAGUCGGAUAUAAUUGGUAUACCAUAGGAUUGGAAGAGUACGGAAUUUAUUGGCUUUACCGAUCAGGGACUUUAUGUGCCGUAUUUUAGGCACUUAUGUGCUGGUUACUGUUACCGCUACUGCUACUGUUACCGAUUCGGCACUUUGUGUGUCGAAUAUUGUUACUGUUACCGUUACCGAUUCGGCACUUUGUGUGUCGAAUAUUAUUACUAUUACCGUUACCGAUUCGGCACUUUGUGUGUUGGAUAUUGUUACUGUACUGUUACUGUUACUGUUACUGUUCCGGAUUUGUUCCGAUGAGGUACUCUGUGUACCGUACUGCUACUGUUACUAUUACUGUUCCGGCUUCGACCGAUGUACUGGUGUGUUGAUUGAAUCCGUGAAUCCGUCUGAGUCCGAGUCAUGUUAAUAGGGGUAAAUAAAGGUAUAAAAUAACUGAUUAUUACUGAAUAAUUGACUGUUACCGGAUAAUUGACUGCUACUGGAUAUUAGACUGUUACUGAAUAAUUGAAUAUUACUGAAUAAUUGAUCAUUACUGAAUAACUGAUUGUCACUGAAUGAAUGACUGUUACUAAAUAACGUAAUUGUUACUGAAUAUCUGAUUUUACUGAAUAAUUGACUGUUACUGGAUAAUCGAUCAAUUGAUCGAUACUGAAUAACUGGUUAUUAUUGAAUAUUUGAUUGUUACCAAAUAACUGACUGUUAUUGAAUAAAUAAUUGUUCUGAGAGUUAAUGAACAUUACUGAUUGAUUAAUUGCUAUUGAAAAAUAAUAAAUGAUUUUGAAUUUAAAGUAGACCAAAACAUUAGUCGGAAAGUGAAUGUUUGAAUUCUCAUUGAGUUUGAAUAGUUCAAUAUAUAUAUAAAUUAAUAUGUUUUAUAAUUGUUUAAGUGUUCAGAUUAUAGAAAUACCACUGAGUGUAUACUCAGCGUACGGUUUGUUUCCGUGCGCAGGUUAAGUUAAGGCUAGACCGUUGAAUCAGCAUCCCAGGCCGAUCCCGAAUUCAAUGAGGUAAAGUAUGUUGAGCAUUGGUAAUGGAUGUACCCAGGAUGUUUAAUGAGAGUCAUUUAAGUUGUAAAAGUACUGAUGAAAUGAGUAAAUUAUGGUUGGCAACGAUAUGUAGUAUGAAUUUUGAAAUUUACUAAAAAUUCGUAGUGAUUCUAAAUUAGUCCCGAAUUGAAUUUACUGUUCAUAUUGGACCGCGAGGGCCCAUUAAAGGGACGACAUCUUAAAACUAGGAUGUGUGUGAAUAUUUAUUUUAAUUAAUGACCGGAAUUGGACUGUACUAAUUGGUAAUGUCUCGUAACCCUGUUUCAAUGACGGUAUAGGGUUAAGGGGCGUUGCAUUUAGUGGUAUCAGAGCUAUUCAGGUUUAGUCGAUUCUCGGACUAAAUCGAGCUCAGAAUUGAGUCUAGAGGUACAUGCCAUAAUUGAGUCGAAAUUGAGUCGGGAUCAGAUACUGAUAUAUUUGUUUAGUACUGUUUUAUAGUGAAAAUGUUAGAGGAAAAUAUCGAUGGUAUUGAUUAUGAAAUGUGUACUGGAGAUGAAUAGUCUCGUGAAUUAGAUGAAAACUGAAUCAACAACACUGGGUAUAAACUCAAUGGGUAAUUAAUUACUGAAUGAUGACUGAUGAAAUAAUAGAAAAAGAAAUGAUACAUAAUUAUUUAGAAUUAUAACUGAUGUUCUUCAGUGAGUAGAAGAAAUUGUAUCUGCUACAGUAUCUAUCCCUCCUGUUUCUUAAUCGGUUCCCGAAGUGCUUCAAGGUGUAGAGCUUGUCUGAACGGGUAAGUUAUCUGCUGUUAAUGAUAUGUACAUGUAUAUAUAUGGUGUGGAUGAAUUGAGUGUAACGGCCUAAUUUUCAGUGGUGUCGGAAAUGGUGAUUUGAGAUCACUAAAUUCGACAAAUAAGAUUGAACAAGAUAGUAAUUUAAUAUUUAUGAGUCAAGUAAGAAUUUAGAAGAAUUUGUGAAAUGGUGAAAUUAGUGAAUUAAAAGAAUUUAUUAGGUCAAACGGGUCAAAAAUGAGGUAUCGAGACCUCAAAGUUGAAAAUAAAGCUAUAAAUAUUUUUAUAAAUAUUUAUGGAGUGUCAUUGAGUUAGUAUUAAAGUUUCGUUAGAAAAUUUUAACGUUUGGAUGGCUAAUUAAUUAAAAAGGACUAAAUUGAAAAUAGCGCAAAAUUUGUUAAAUUGUGAGUAAAUAGAUUAAGUAUUUAAAAAGAUGGAUUUAAAGAGCAAUUAGACCCAAAGGUUAAUGGUUGGUUUGGGUAUGAAAUAAGCAAGAAAACAAUGUGAACAAGGGGCAAAAUUGGAAAUAGCAUAAAAGUUAAUAGUUAAAUAAUGAUGUAAUUGAAAAAUCUAGACAUUUCUUCAUAUUUUCUCAGCCAAAACGCUAUAGAAGGUCUGGAGAAAGCUGGUUUUUCAUAUUUUUACAUCAUGUGAGUUUAAUUCUUGCUUUUUCUUGAUAAUUUUUAUGUUUUUAUGACUUUUACAACUAGGUCCAUAUGUUUAAUUCAUUAGUUUUUGAUUAUAUGGAUAAUUUUGAAAGUUUCCAUGAAUAAGUGCUGAAAUUUUAUGAUGAUUUAUCAUGGAAUUGAGGUUUUAAUUCUAUUAUAUGAUGAUUUUAUGAAGAGAUUUCAUAGAAAUCAUUAUUUAGGACCUAAUUGUGAAAGUUAUAAAAUUAGGCUUUUGUGAUGAAACUUUGAAUGUCAAAGGCUGUGAAAUAGUUUAUAAUGUUUAAAUAAAGUGUUAUUUGAGAAGAAUUAGUUCAAUUGAUGAAUAAAUUGAGCAGGGACUAAAUUGUAAAAAUUGAAAAGUUUAGGGUAAUUGUGUAAUUUCGAAAAUUUAAGGGCAUAAAUUGUGAAAUAGAAUAGAAUUUAAAUGGAUGCUAAUGAAGGAAUGAUUUUAUAAUUAUAGAUCAAGAAAACGAACUGAAUCGUGGAAAGGAGAAAAUUCAAGAAUAGUCCCUGAAUUUCUACGACUUUUGCAAAUUAGUCCAGGUAAGUUCAUAUGGCAAAGUUCAAUGUUUUGAUAUGAAAAUCUUAUGAUUGUUAAAGUAUUUUAUUGUUGAUGAAUACUAUCAAUUUGCAUUAACUAAUAAAUAAUGUGUAACUAAAAGUACAAAUUAGUUGGAACAAUGGAUUUGAGUGCUUCUAUUCUGUGACCCUGAUGAAUUGACGAAAAAUAUGUGAUAAGUGCGCCCAUUUAAGACCAUAGCUGGGCUAUGGCAUCGGUGCAAUGUGAUAAUGUGACUCCGUAUAAGACCAUAGCUGGGCUAUGGCAUCGGUAUAAUGUGAUAAUGUGAUUCCGUAUAAGACCAUGUCUGGGAUAUGGCUUCGGUAUGAUAUGUGAACCGUGUAAGACCAUGGCAAGGCUAUGGCUUCGAUGUGUGAUGCGUAACAAUGUAAAAGUCCAUAGUUUACUAUGGCAAUGUGAUAAUGAAGCACUCAAUUCCCUUAUUGUUCCCUAAUUUGACAAUGAAGUAAAUGAGAAAUGGGCCUAAGGGAGUUAAAUUGUGAGUAGCCAUAUGGAAAUUAUUCCAAUGAGUUAUUAAAGAAAUUGUGAUUUGGAGGAUGAAAUAGUUAAACUAAUAGAUAUAUGAUUGUGUACAAUAUUUGAUAUGAUUUGUGUUUUUAUGCCUAUGAGCUUACUAAGCUUCAAUAAGCUUACUUGUGUGUGUUUGAUAAUUUCUUUUGUAGAUUGAAUUAAAGAGAAGUUGGUAGAUCGGAUCAACACAACAGGGCACACUAUUCAGAUCAAUUCCGGUAGUUUUUGUUUUAUGUUUAAAGAUUUAUAUGGCAUGUAUAGAGUUUGAAUGAAUUGAAGUAAAGAUGUUAUAAACUAGUUAACAAUAUUUGUACUAAAAUAGUUUUUGGUAAGUAGCAGUAGUUUGACUUUGAAAAAUCACUAAAAAUAGUAGAAAUGGAAUUAAAUAAUGAAUAAGUUAUGGAAUCGAAUCCUGAUGAGUCUAUUUUCAUAUGGAAGAAGCAAAACAGGUAUAUGAGCUAUAUUUUAUGAGAUGUUUAAAUUUUUGUGAAACAGGGCCAGAGCGAUUUCUGGAUCCCCUGUUCUGACUUUGGAAAUUCACCAUAAAUUUUACAAAGAUAAUUAGAAGUCAUACUUUAUAUGUACUGAUUCCUUAUUGAGUCUAGUUUUAUUAGAGACAAACGGCAUAGUCAUUGAAGCUCUGUACAGAGAGAUAUCUAAUUCGUAAUGCACAGAGGUCAGAGUAGUCAAACCCUGAAACAGGGGAGAUUUUAACUAAUAAACUGUACUAAUUGGCUUGACCAAAAAUUCUAGAAAAAAUUGGUAAGUAGAUAUAUGAGUAUAAAUUCUGGGAAAAUUUACGGAUUUGGAUUUUGAGUUUUAUAACUCGAGAUAUGAAUUAUUUAGCAACUAUGACGCAGUUGGACAGCUUGUCUGAAAAGUAUGAUAUAAAUUAUCUGAAUUUGGUUAAGUGCUCAAAUAAGUUUAGUAGUGCCUUGUGCUCGACUUCGGCAACGGUCUCGGGUAAGGGGCGUUACAUUGAGAAUUACAGUUGAGAAUGAUCUUGAAAGAAUUGAAAUCUGGUUAGAGAAUAUUAUCGGAAUUGUAAAUGAAUUGUUCUGUUCGCCGAUUAAAUGUUAGAAGGGUAUGAUAUUUCUGUUAAAAGAUUUAGGUUAUCAGUGGUAGAAAAUUUGAUUAUGUUGUGAUUAAGGGUUAUUUGGAAAUUUUCUGAGAUGAGUUCUAAAAGAAAUAUAUAUAUUAGUCAGAGAUUUCUUGAUCAGAAACGUAUAGAAUUCUUGAAGCUUAAACAGGAUCAUAUACCUACAACUGUGUAUGAAGGGAAUUUGUUUGAUUAAAUAAAUAUAUCAGAGGGUAUAUUCCGAUAGAAACUAUAAGGUACAAAUGGUUUUAAGAUGGUUUAAAAGAAGAUAAAAAGCUGAGGAAUGUAGAAUAAAUAGUGGAAUAUGUGAUUAGAUAUGAUUCUUCUGAUUAUUAUCUUAGUGAUUGCUUGAAAAAAAAAUUAAAAAAGACAUUAUUCAGAGUUCAAGACCGAGUAAUGUAGUUAACAGAGGUAGGUUACCCUGUAAUCUCAAAAAUACGAGUGAAAGCCGAAGUGUGACAAAUGAAUUCACUAUAAAAUCUGGAGAAUGAACAUCAGCCAGGGUAUAUGUUAAUUGUAUAUAAGAAGAUUUAUCUCUACCGAAUGUCAUUACAGGCACUUUCUUCUUUAUCGACACUAAUACGAUUAUUUUAAAUUGAUCUUGGUUUGACUAUUCCUAUGAUUACAUAAGUUCAGUAUCUAUUAAAGAUUUUCCUGUUGAGUUUGCUGAAAUUUUUUGUGUUGAAGCAUUAAAUUUUUCAGAUUAGUAUUUAUGGGCUGAUAAGAUCUGUAAGAACUGUUUGAUAAUGAUACUACUAUUUUCUGAUCGAUUUGAUGUUCUUACUGUUUGAUAUAAUCUCAAUAAUGGAAUGGUUAAUUCUGCAUGAUAUGGUGGUAAAUUAUAAGCAAAAGUAUAUUAUACUGCAAGGUUAGAAUGAUGAAAUGUUUUGUUGAAUCAGAGAAGAUUGAGCUAAUUGUCUAUUGUGAUAUUGAACAUGCCAACACAGAUAUAUGCCGGAAAGGGGUCAUGGUAUUUACCUUGUUUAUGUAUUGAAUAUUAAAGUAUUUAAGUUAAGGUUUAAAUCAGUGGCAAUAGUACAAGAGAAUUCUAAUGUGUUUCCAGAAGAGUUGCCCGAACUACUGUUGAUUGAAGAAGUUGAAUGUGCUAUAGAUUUUGUAACUGAAAUGAUAAUGAAAAAUAUAUUUGAAAUAAGAGGUUUUCUAAAACUAGUCGGUUAUUACAGAAAGAUGUGGAAUUGGAAUGAUCAGAUAGACGUUAGUAAGGUUCUGAUUAGUUGAAAGCUCAGUUAACUAAAGCACUAGUUUUGGUUCAGUCUGAAAUCUGAUAAAGAAACUUGUGAUUUACAGGGAUAGCAGUGUUUUGAUGCAAAAAAGAGAGAGUAAAGUAAUGGUUUAUGUUACGAAAUGUUAGAAUCACAUGGGAAGAAUUAUUUGAUACCUGAUUCGGAAGUGGUAGUUAUUGUUCUUGCAUUAAAAGAUCAAGAUAUGAUAAUUAAUUGUCAUCCGAAAAGACAAAUGAAUGUAUGUAUAUUCAAAUUGAAAGCUUUGUUUUGUGUUAUGAGCUAUGAACAUUUGACUGUUAUCAUUUGAAGAUGGAUCAAUUUUGGUAGAGAUAAAAAAAUUAAACCGACUUCUUUACAGCAGAUCUGUGAAGUUCAGAAAUGUGGUAAUGAGUUAUCAGUUAAAUGGAUAUAGUAUACAGAUGAUUUCUGAUUGAACAUUUCGGAUUGGAUAUGAUGGUUGUUUGCUAUUUAGAAAUAAAAGCUGAACAGAGAGAUUCAGAACUUAUACAGGAGAAUUUGCAUGAAAUUAUAGUAGUACUAUGUCUAUGCAUUUUGGAAGAAUAAGAUGUGCAGUGAUUUGAGACAGAUGUAUUGAAGACUGGAAAAAGAAAAGCAAUACUUUGAAUUUGCAUAUAAAUGGUUAUAUUAGGUACAGAUAUCUUCAGAACUGUUACAACCAGUGGUGACAUCAGAAUGGAAAUGGGAUAAAAUUUUUAUGGAGUCUAAGUUGGAAUUAUCUCUAUUUUUGAAAAAGAAUAUGCGGAGCUGUUUGAUUCGUGAAAUUGAAGAAAAGUGGAAGUAAUUCGAGAUAGACUGAAAGCAGUUUUGACAAACAGAAAUUAUAUAUAGACUUGAAAUGUUGGGAUAUUGAGUAUUUUGUUACUGAUAUGGUAUUUCUUAAAGAUUCACCUUGGAAGAACAUUUUGAAGAUCGGGUUGAAAGAGAAAUUAAGUUCUUGUUCUGUUGGGCUAUGUGAAGUUGUAGAAAAUUCGGACCGGUAAAAUAUUGUUUGGUUUUGCUUCUGAAGUUACAGAAAGUUUAUGAUAAUUUUUCAUGAUUUAAAGCUCAGAAGAUUAUAGAGAUCAAAUCUCUUGCAUGUUAUAUUGACAAAGGAUAUUGAGAUUUGAUGUAAUCUAUACUAUGAAAAAGAGCCGGUUGAGAUACUAGUCGAGCGAUAAUGUCAUAAUAUUGAGGAAACAAUAUGGGAACCGAGAGGAACAGCGAGAUCUUUGUACUUAUACCCCCGCCUCUCUCAGGUAAAUUUCGAGGACUAAAUUUAUAAAAGGGGGGGAGAAAUGUAACGACCCGAAUUUUACCGUUACUGAAAAAGUAUAUUUUUGGGUCUCCGUUUCUGAAAAACGGAUUCGUAAAUAUUUAUUAAAAAUAUUUACGAAGUAAAAUGAGUAGUUAAUUAGAGUUUAAUUAAGUGAAUUUAAUUUAAUUAAUAGUAAUUAAGAAAAAGGACUAAAUUGAAUAAGAGGUAAAAUUUGAAUUAUAGAUUAAAAGAAAAUAAAAAGGACUAAAAAGGAAAUUAUACAAAAAGUAUAAAUUGAGGCGGUUUACCGUGAAGAAAAUCUAAGAUUUUUUUUAUGUUUAGUAUAUUAUUAUAUUAUUAUAUAAUAAAGAUAUUUUAUGUUUUAAUUAUAUUAUAUUAUAUAAACUAAAGAAAGGAAAUAGAAACAGAAUGAAACGAAACAGAGAGCAGGGGAGAAAAAGAAAGAAAGAAAGGGAGAAAAGAGAAAAUUUAAGGUUUGAAGCUUUAAGCUUUAAUAGGUAAGUCAAUCAAGCCCUUUUUACUUAAUUUUGAUGUUUUAGAAGUUUUAGAACAAAGUUUUGAUGAAAUUAAGUUGAUAUUUUGAUAGUUAUUAGAUUUCUAGAUAUUGUCCAUGUUAAAUAAAAUGAUGAAUUAAGGGCUAAAUUGAUAGAAAUUCAAGUUAAAAAUGAUACAAGGAUUAAAUUGUAAAGUGAUUCAUAGGUUUUAUGCUUUAAGGACUAAAUUGAAAGAAUUUUUGAAAUUAUGGUUUUAUGAUGAAAAAUAGAUAAUUAUGUCUAAGUUUGGUUAAAAAUUGAGUAGAAAUAAAGUAUGAAUUAAGAUAGAAAAGUAAGUGAAUUUAUUUAGAAUUAAAUUGAAAUUAAAGUAGAAAAUCAACAUUUUGUACUAAGACUAUUUUGGACAGUAGCAAUAGUCUAAGUUUGAAAAAUCACCAAAAAUUAUAGAAAUUUAAUUAGAGGAUGAAUAAAAUAUUUAAUUAAAGCUUAUUGAGUCUAGUUUCUUAUAGAAGAAACGGUAUAAGCAAUUGAAUUGUAAAUUAUGAGAUAUAAUGAAUUUUGUGAGACAAGGUCAGAAUGAAUUUGGGUUCCCCUGUUCUGACUUUGGAAAAUCACCAAAAAUUGAAGAAAAAUAACUAGAGGCUUAAAGUUAUAUGUUUAUAAUCCCUAAUGAGUCUAUUUUCAGGAAAAAUCAACGGGAAUAUUAUUCGAGUUCUGUACUAUGAGAUAAUUAAUUUUUAGUAAAGAAGGGUCGAAACUGUCAGACAGCAGAAUAGGGGUGAAUUUAAAGAAUAAACUGUAUUUAAUGGCUUAAUGAAAAAUUCUGAAAAUUUUAUGGUAAGAAUAUUUGUGAGUCUAGUUUUAGGAAAAAUUAGCGGAUCUUAAUUUAAAAUUCUGUAACUCAAGAUAUAAAUUAGUAAUGUAUUAAUGGUUAUGAAUUGUAUUAAAUUAUGAAUUAAUGUGAAAAAUUGAGAUAUAUAUAUUGAAUUGAAUGAGAUUGUGAAAAUGUGUGAAUAUAUGUAAUUAUUGGAAUGGUAUAUUAAGGAAAGAAUUAUUGAAUUGAGAAAGUGAAUUAUAAUUGAUACUGAACUAAGAUAGAAAUUAUACUGAAAAGUGAAUUAAAUACCCUAUUAACUAGUCGGACUGAGUCGGAUAUAGUUGGCAUGCCAUAGGAUUUGGAAGUGUUCAGGCACUGAGUGCCAUACUGGUGUGUUUGGUUGGAAUCCGCAUAUCCGCCAAAGUCCGAGUCUUGUUAAUAGGGAUAAAUAUGAAUAUUAAGUAAAAUUGAAAUAAGAAUUAAAUUCCCUAUUAACUUGUCGGGCUAGUCGGAUACAAUUGGUAUGCCAUAGGAUUGGAAGUGUACGGGAUUUAUUGGCUUUACCGAUCAGGCACUUUAUGUGACGUAUUUUAGGCACUUAUGUGCUGGUUACUGUUACCGCUACUGCUACUGUUACCGAUUCGGCACUUUGUGUGUCGAAUGUUGUUACUGUUACCGUUACUGAUUCGGCACUUUGUGUGUCGAAUAUUGUUACUAUUACCGUUACCGAUUCGGCACUUUGUUACUAAAUUUUUGGGCUAAUUGGGUCAGAUUGGGAUUAGUUUUGGGUAGGUUUUGGUUGUUUGGGCUUCUGUUAGGCGUUUUUGUGUUUAGGGUUUUGGGCCCAAAAUUGGGCUUGUACAGACAACAACACACAUACCAAUCAAAUUAAGACUCAAUUGAACACAUAAUUGAAGUUUAAAAAAUACUAAAUAAAUAAAGAAUGUAUGGGCUAUAAGUAAACAAUUUGUAAUUAUUGUGAGGUUAUAUCAUACCACAAUAAUGGGUUCACGGGUUUGAUUUGGUGCUUAAGAAGAUUCUAUAUCCAAACUAUAGGUUUAAGUUUUUAUAUAUGCAUAUUAGUUGAUGUAAUUAGGUGUUAAGUGUUGUUUUUUAUAAACACUUGGAAUUUGAGAAUUGACAUUUGUUGUAAAUUCUUGGGGAUAAAGCGAUGAAAAAUUAUUGACGUUGAAGUAAUGCAGAUUGAUAUGGGUUGGGUUGAAGAAUUUAAUUCACAAUCUAAUUAAUAGCUUCUUUGAAAGAAAUCACUACCUGUAAUAAAUUCAACCUCACCUCCACAAACACUAACAAAUAGUGUAUAGAUCAAUGGGUAAUAACUAAAAAGUAACUAUGGCCUAUAUUGUUCUCCUUUGAGUUUAAUUACUCAAGCAUUUUUAGUGUUUUAAAUUAUUUAAAUUUACUUUGCCUUUAUUUAUUAUUGAGGUUGAAAAAUAUUUUUUAAUUUAAACUUUGGUUUCGAAUAAAAAAUUUUAAUAGACAAACAAUUUUUCAAAUCAAAUCUUAUUUUUAAUUCUGAAUUCUAACCCAAACUAAAAUUUUUAGAAAUGUUUUUUUUAAUGAAAUUACAUUUUUCUCCCCUAAUUAAAUUUUCUAAUUUAUAACAUCAUGUCUAAAAUGUCAUUUUAUUUCUUAAAAAUACUUUUUAAUAUUAGUGAUAAAUAUUAUCAAAAUUUUUAAAAACUCUUUUUUACAACAUUUUUCAACUAAAUUGAUAAGCUAACCCUUCUAAACUUACUUGAAACUAUCAUUUUUUUUUUCUUUUCUAUUCUCUUACUUCAAAACUAUAGCUAUUGAGACAGAUAUUAGUUCCCCAAUGGAAUUCAUACAUAAUUAAAGAAGAGCUCAACCCCAACCAAAUAUAAUAUAUCUUAUCUUAUGAUAAAUUUGAGAGUGCAUUAAUCAUUAAUUAUAUUAGAUAUGACACGAUCAUGAUGUGGGUAAAAAAUAUCAUAUAAUAAAUUUCUAAAAAUGGGUUGGUUGAAUCUUAACUCAAUUGGUAUCAAUAUUGUUGUUAGUACAACAAGACAUAGGUUCGUGCAUUAUCUUCUUAUUUAAGAGUUAGAGUGAGUUAUGAAUAAUUUUAAGCAUUAUAUAAAAAAAAUAAAUAUUAAGAAUUGUGAUAUGGUAAUUUUAAAAUAAUAAAAAUUAUAAUAUCUUGAUUUAAAUUCCAUAUGUAUUUUUUUUAAAUUACAGCUUAAUUAAAACUAAAUGCAUACAAGAAAUCAAAUAGUCAAAGGUUUCGAGGACAAGCAUGAUUUAUUUCUUGAAUUCUCAGCAUAUUGCAGUUUAGUGGAAAUCAAAAUGUAAAGCAAGUCCAAGGAAUCUUUGCAUUUUUGUGCAGUCAAACAAGCUUUUUUUUAAAUGUCUUUUUUAGUUUCCCAUUUGAGAAUGCUUACAUCUUCCUCACAGUCAUGGACCCAAAACUGUACUUCCUAAUGAGUUUCAACUCGUAUUAUCAAUUGCCAAGGUUACCCAUUUAAUAUUCUAAUCAUUAGAUGUCAACAACAAUAAAAUAAGAAAAAAAAAGACCUAAAAAAAAAUAAAAGAAUAAUAGAAUGAUCCUAAACUAUGUGAUUAAUUUUAAGCAUAUAAAAAAUUUAUCAUACACUUAUGUCUAUACAAUCACUAUCCUAACUCAAUAUAACUUAAAACUUUUGGGCAGUCAACACACUUUCUAUUUUACUUUUCUCUUGGGGAUUAACGCAGGUCUGAGUUGAGAGAAUUUGCAAAUUCUCAUUGCAUUUUUCUCGAUAGGACAAAAUUCUUGACUGAUUUGAUUGGGUUUAUUAUAAAUCUUUGUAUAUAUGUUUUCCCUUCAACCUCUAUAAAUUUUCUUUUUCUCCGAAUUGUAUGAUGAUUUCUAAUAAAAUCUGUAAAAGUCGUAUCAAUUUUCAAUAAAAUUGAGUUUCAAAUGAAAAUUAUAUUAUUCGCAAUACAUUUAUAAAAGUUAAUUUAUUACUUCUUAGUAUGAUAUUAAUAUAACUUAUUCACAAAUAACAAAUAUAAGAGGUAGACAUAUUUUGCACUACAUAUGAAAAAAUAAUUACAAACAUAAUAAAAUUAUAUAAGAUUUAUUGCCAUAACUAGAUGCAGAGAUUUUAUAAAUAAAUUGGUAAGGAAACAAGAAGUAAGGAAAUAAAACAAUGUUGCGGAAAGGAUCGAUUCGAGAACUCCGAUAUGACUACAAGUAAAUUGACCGAAACGAAAAAUAAAGUGAACACAAGGAUUUACGUGGUUCGGCUUUAAUGCCUACGUCCACGGGCAGAGGCGAAAAGAAAUUUCACUAUAACAAGAUGAAGAUUACAAGUGUUUUACACUCAAGACACAACCCGAGAACCUCACAACUCUCAACCCCUAUAGAAAACCCGAAAGCUAAAAUCCUAGCUUUCAAAGAACAAGCUUUUCUCUCUCUUGGUUUGGGAUGAUCAAUAUGGCUAAUGAACCUCUCUAUUUAUAAGAGAGUUCAAGGACAUAAUUGUCCAAAACUUUGGCAAAGAUUUGUGGUUGAAAAUGGACACCAACAACCAUCCACUAAUCCACUACCACCAACAACCCACUACCAACAACAACAAUCCACUACCAAUUUUAAGCCAUUUCUUAACAAAUCUCCACCUUGGCUUGAAAUUUACCAAGCUGAACAUCAUAGUGAACUGGAUCACCUCUUCCAAACGCCUCUCUGGCGCUAAUCAAUCCCGAAUACCUAUCAAGUCCAAGCAAUGCUUGAACUUAUAUGCAGGGAUCACCUUAGUUAACAUAUCUGCAGGAUUCUUCUCGGUAGCAACCUUGCUGAUAACAAUGUCACCUUGCGUAACAUGUUCCCGAACAAAAUGAUAUCUGACAUCAAUGUGUUUGGUCCGUUCAUGAAACAUCUGAUUUUUAGUCAGAUGUAUGGCACUCUGGCUAUCGCAAAAUACAACAGUGAAAUCCUGUUGUAAACCCAAACUGCUUACUAGACCUUUCAUCCACAAUGCUUCUUUCACUGCUUCUGCUAACGCCAUAUAUUCCGCCUCAGUCGUAGAUAAGGCUACGGUAGACUGUAACACAGCUUUCCAACUAAUGGCUCCUCCAGAAUAAGUGAAAACAUAACCCGUCAGAGAUCUUCUUUUGUCCAGAUCUCCAGCAUAAUCAGAGUCCGCAUAGCCCGUGACACUGCUAGUGCAGUCACUCUGAUCAUAUACCAAGCAUAAAUCUGCAGAACCUCUCAAGUACCUGAGAAUCCAUUUCACGGCCUGCCAGUGUUCCUUGCCAGGACAACUCAUGUAUCUGCUGACCACACUAACUGCAUGUGAAAUGUCUGGACGAGUGCAAACCAUUGCAUACAUCACGCUUCCAACUGCACUCGAGUAUGGAAUGUGAGACAUUUGCUGCUUUUCUUCAUCAGAUUGUGGUGACAACUCUGCAGAGAGUUUGAAAUGUGGUGCCAACGGAGUACUCACAGUUUUCGCUUUAUCCAUGCCGAAGCGUUGAAGAACCUUUUCAAUGUAGUUCUUCUGCGACACACGAAGCUUGCCCGCCUUGCGAUCUCUGUGAAUAUCCAUGCCCAAAAUUUUCUUGGCAGCACCCAGAUCCUUCAUCUCGAACUCACCACUCAACUGCGACUUUAACUUGUUGAUUUCCGACAUGUUUUUGGAAGCAAUUAACAUGUCAUCAACAUACAGCAACAAAUAAAUGUGCGAACCAUCUGAGAGCUUCCGAUGAUAGACACAAGCAUCAUAGUCACAUCUUGUGUAACCAUGCUGAAUCAUGAAGCUAUCAAACCGCUUGUACCACUGCCUUGGGGAUUGUUUCAAUCCAUAUAAAGACUUCUUUAAUAGACAGACAUGGUCUUCUUUACCAGGAACUGUAAAACCCUCUGGUUGACGCAUGUAGAUUGUUUCCUCGAGCUCACCAUGCAAGAACGCCGUUUUUACGUCAAGCUGCUCAAGUUCUAGAUCAGACUUGGCCACCAUGGCAAGUAAUAUACGAAUGGAAGAAUGCUUUACGACUGGGGAGAAAACUUCAUUGUAGUCAAUCCCCUCUUUCUGAGUGAAGCCUUUAGCAACCAAUCGUGCCUUGAAUCUAGUUGCUUCAACCCCUAGGAUGCCUUCCUUUUUCUUGAAGACCCAUUUGCAACCAACUAUCUUCUGGUUACUUGGCGGCUUAACCAACUCCCAAGUAUGGUUCUUGUGAAGAGAUUCUAUCUCCUCACUCAUAGCAAUUGCCCACUGUGCCGACUCAUCACACGUGACAGCCUCAUUAUAACUGGAAGGUUCUAUACCAAUGGACUCCGCCACACUGAGCGCGAAAGACACCAGAUUAGCGUAACGCGGAUUUGGUUUGAUUUGUCUCUUCGUUCUUCCAGUGGCAAUGCUAUAUGGUUUUUCUUGAGGUGACUCAUCUUCAUCGGAAUCUUGCACCUCAACUUGAUCAUCCUGGACUGAAGUACCUUCCGUAGGAAUUGGAGCGUCCACCUGACACUCCACCUGCUUCUCAACACCGUGAUCUCCCAUUCUAUCUGACUCCUCCUUUUCCCGGGAAUUUGUGGUGGAUCGAAGCAUGGAUGACUCAUCAAAAGUCACAUCUCUGCUGAUGAUGAACUUGGACGAAACCGGAUCAGGACACCACAACCUGUAUCCUUUCACCCCUUGGCCGUAUCCAAGAAAUAUGCAUUUCUUCGCCCUCGGUUUGAGUUUUCCCUCAUUUACAUGAGCAUACGCAGGGCAGCCAAACACUCUUAAACCAGAGUAAUCAGCAGGAGAACCAGACCAUACUUCCUCAGGAGUCUUCAGCUCAAUAGCUGUUGACGGAGAUCUGUUAACCAAAUAACAAGCAGUAUUAACAGCUUCAGCCCAAAAUUCUUCACCGAGCCCAGCAUUUGAUCGCAUGCAACGAGCUCGCUCCAAGAGAGUUCUAUUCAUGCGUUCUGCAACUCCAUUUUGUUGUGGUGUUCGACGAACAGUGCGGUGUCUCACUAUUCCUUCAUUCUUGCAGAACUCAUUGAAUUCACCUGAGCAAAACUCCAAGCCAUUAUCCGUCCGGAAUCGCUUGAUCUUCUUUCCUGUUUGAUUUUCGAUCAAAGCUUUAAAUUGCUUGAAGUUGAUGAGAACCUCAUACUUGCUCUUCAGAAAAUACACCCAAACCUUUCUCGAGUAAUCAUCGAUAAAGGUAAGCAGAUAUCUGUAACCACCUUUAGAAAUUGUCGGAGAAGGCCCCCAAAGGUCAGAAUGGAAGUAAUCCACUGUGCCUUUUGUCUUGUGAAUCCCAGUGCUGAACUUUACCCGAGUCUGCUUACCGAAGACGCAGUGCUCACAGAAAUUCAACUUUCCUGUACACUGCCCAGACAAUAAUCCUCGUUUGCUUAGCACCGAUAAGCCUCUCUCGCUCAUAUGCCCGAGCCGCAUAUGCCAUAACUUCGUGGUGUCAGAAUCUAGAUCAUCUGAUGAUGACACUCCCGCAACACCUGUAACCGAGGAACCAUCGAGGAAGUAAAGGCCCCGCUCCAAAUUACCACGUAUCACAGUCAAAGCACCCGAGAAUACCUUGAGAACUCCACCUUCAGCAGAGUACCGAAAGCCUUUCUUGUCCAACGUACUCAAAGAGAUCAAAUUUUUCUUCAUUUCUGGAAUGUGCCGAACAUCAGUUAGAGUUCUAACAAUACCGUCAAACAUCUUUAUACGAACUGUGCCAAUCCCCAUGACUUGACAUGCGUGGUCAUUUCCCAUUAGUACUGAACCAGAAUGCUUCUCGUAUGUUGAGAAUGCAUCUUUCGAAGUACUUAUAUGAAAUGUAGCUCCCGUAUCAAGAAUCCAUCUCCCACCAGCGUAAGAGUCGGAUACUGCAAGAACGAUCUCGGCAUCACUUGAAGAAUCUGCAUCAGCUACAUUCGCACGAUCAUUUUGUUGCUCCUGUGAUUCUGAUUUCUCCUUCCUUUUCGGACAAUCUACCUUCAUGUGCCCGUACUUCUUACAGUAGUAGCACUGUAUUCUCUUCUUGGACUGCGAUCUAGGAUGGCUUUUACUUGAACUUCCACCCUUUGCCUUGGAUCUUCCUCGAGCAACCAAGCCUUCGCCUUCAUUGUUUUCGACCACCUUACCAGUGAUUUUCUUCCUCAACUCACUGGAACUUAAGGCAUUUUUCACCUCCUCUAGAGUCAGGUCAUCACGACCGUACAUCAUUGUAUCAACAAAAUUCUCAUACGAGGGAGGCAAAGAACACAAAACAAUUAUUGCUUGGUCCUCAUCAUCGAUUUUGUUAUCGAUAUUAUUCAAAUCCAUGAUAAUGGAAUUGAAUUUAUCCAGGUGCUGGGAAACAGGUGUACCUUCCUCCAUCUUCAGGGCAUAGAGUCUUUGCUUGAGGUAGAGCCGGUUCGUCAAUGACUUCGUCAUGUACUUGCUUUCUAACCGGAGCCACAAACCGGACGCGGUUUUCUCAUCCGCUACUUCUCGUAGCACUUCAUCUCCUAGACAUAGCAGAAUAGCACUAUGUGCUCUUUCUAGCAUGUCAUCCUUUUGCUCUUCCGAAAGCGUGCUUGGUAAUUUAUCUUUACCAGACAAUGCUUUUAGCAAUCCUUGUUGAACCAGCACUGCCCGCAUCUUGAUGCGCCAUAAACUGAAACUAUUUUUCCCGGUAAAUUUCUCGACAUCAUACUUAGUCGAUGAAACACUUGUAGCCAUAAUUUGGAACCUUUGAAUGAAUGAUAAUAUUUUCUUCCUGAUGUGAAAGAUCAGACAAAGCUGCAGUCACAGGGCAAUUCAGAAAAUAUUAUCACUCCUUCAACUACGCUCUGAUACCAAUUUGUUGCGGAAAGGAUCGAUUCGAGAACUCCGAUAUGACUACAAGUAAAUUGACCGAAACGAAAAAUAAAGUGAACACAAGGAUUUACGUGGUUCGGCUUUAAUGCCUACGUCCACGGGCAGAGGCGAAAAGAAAUUUCACUAUAACAAGAUGAAGAUUACAAGUGUUUUACACUCAAGACACAACCCGAGAACCUCACAACUCUCAACCCCUAUAGAAAACCCGAAAGCUAAAAUCCUAGCUUUCAAAGAACAAGCUUUUCUCUCUCUUGGUUUGGGAUGAUCAAUAUGGCUAAUGAACCUCUCUAUUUAUAAGAGAGUUCAAGGACAUAAUUGUCCAAAACUUUGGCAAAGAUUUGUGGUUGAAAAUGGACACCAACAACCAUCCACUAAUCCACUACCACCAACAACCCACUACCAACAACAACAAUCCACUACCAAUUUUAAGCCAUUUCUUAACAAACAAGCUGAAUAAUACAAGUCUUUUCACGUCCCUUAGAGAUACUAAAGUUCCCUAAGAAAACAUUUGAAGAAAAGUAUUAGACUUAUUCUAUAUCAAUCCCACAAGGAAAGUUACAACUGAAAACACUCUGUAAAUAAUAGAAAUAAUAACUUUCUAAAAUCAAACACAAACACCAUAAGAAAGACGAUAAAAAGUGUAGGGAACAGUGAUGGUUUAGCAUUGGAAGCCAGUAGGAACGUUCCUUGAACAAACGUUGAGGAGCAAGCUAAGGGAAACUGGGAUGUUAAGGUUGAUGCCUAAAAUGUUAGCUCUGAUAGCGGUGCAAAGGCAUGCAGCGGCUUCGAGGUCGACAAGGCCAUUGAGAAGGGAACAGCAUGGCAUCACUGGGGGUGAACCAAUGGUGACAUUGACUAGGUUAAGCACAUUGGCACAUACACCUAAUUUGAGGGCAUCCCUAGGGCACCUGCCUCGUGCAGAUGGAGUAGGAGUGGGGGUGUUGGGGUUUGGGUUUGGCCUUGGUUUAGGGGUGGGUGAAGAGCAAGAGCCACAAGCACUGACUAGGGAAAAAAAGAGAAUGUUGAGUGCCAAAAGGAGGACCAUGGAAGCUGAUCUUUUAGAAGCCAUUUUGAUCUUCUCUCAAAACCUUAGUGGCUUACUUUCUUGGCUUUAGAGUUAAAAAGGUACAAGUGUUCGAGGAUGGGGAACUUGGAGUGAAGGAAGGGGGGGUUUUAUAGUGUUUCCAAGAAGGCUAGUGGGUUGUUUUUUUAAUGUUAGGUUAAUUGAUGAAAUUGUAGAAUAAAUCAAUUUGAUUUUUAUUAAGCUGACUUGUGAAGUUUGGUUGUUUGUGAUUUGUGAGGUGGAAAUUAACACACUACCAUGUUACCAUUGCUCCUAUAGGAUCAAUAAUACGUGGAUCUGUCUUAGCCUAACUUUAAAUGAAUACCCUCUUGUAAUGUUCCAUGUUCUUCCAAAUUAUAAGCAUAAUAGUGACAACUUACAAACCGCUAAGUAGAGACAAAAUGGAUUACAAAUUAAUAAUCUCUCUUUGUCAAACCUUUCAUGUUCUUCUUCAGCCAUUAGUACCCUUUAAACAGAUUUUCUGAACUUCAUUCACAUUAAACUCAAAUUUUAUUCAACUUCCCAAUGCAGUAAUAAACUUACUAUAAGCAGCUAAUGUAUGCAAAACCAACUUCAAAUAAUGGUUUCUACUUUAACUCAUUUAAUCAAAUUCAAAAGGGUGAUUGUUUUCCUUAAAAACCAUCUUUGAAUGGUACAAACCAGUUUGAAAUGCUUCCAUAUUAAUAUUCAAUAAUAUUAUUUUGAGAUUAUUAAUAAUUACUGCCAACCAACCUCCUUUUUUAUUAUUUUGUUCAAAAAUGGAUGCAAAGUGUUGGAGAUAUUGGCAUGUUGCCAAUGGAAGUUGUUAUAGCUGGAUUCGACUGGUAUGUCACGGGUGAACUUUAGAGCCUACCGUGGAUUCCACGCAAUUAGCCCUAUUUCUAACUUAAAAUGAAUGCUUAUGUUUAUAUCCAAAUUGAUAUUUUAAAUAUUAACUAAUUAUUUUUCAUUUCUAUAGUUCAAACGAUUAAAUUUAUAAGUAAAUUUCAACUAUUAAUAAAUGACCUGUAUUAAUAUAAGGCCUGGGGCCUUAGAACGAGACCAAAUAACUUGAAUCUUUUCUCUUCUCAAUUAUCUCCAAUAUUAUUAUUUCCUUUUCUUUUUUUUUUUACCUCAAUUAUCUUAUCUGAUAAUUUUUCGUUUUAUCCUAAAUAAAGUGAAUCACUCAUCUCGUAUAUCAAUAAAAUUUAAAUUAAACUCGUAAGUGAUUUGUGAAGAGGCUUAAAUACAAGUUUUAUCAUUUUUUGGGCGACGGCCCUUGAAUGCGUGCUACAAUCUUUAGCAUUUGACAAAUGUGAUUCCACCAUAUGAGGAAGCUAGAUCGUUGACAUUGAUUGCUUAAACAAAAGCUAUAAUUUCUUACUGUAGUUUCUAUGGAGAAUACAAAUAUCUUCGCAUUCAAACAAAAGAUUAUGAAUAUGUGUACUCCUGUAAAUUCCAAUAACUCUAAAAUAUUUAUUAACGGAGCAGAUUAUUACCACAUUAGGAAGAACAAAAAGGUGAAAUUUAUCAAUUUACAAAAUAAAUAAAUAAUUAUACAUUUAAAAAGAUAAAUGUUUGAAACAAUAAAAAAAAUUCCUUCAAAAUUAGCAUUUUCUCAAACAAAAAACUCUUUCAUUAUAUAUAGUAUGAAUCCAUUGAAAAAUCACCCAAACUUCUCUGCAGAAAUAUAAAAAUAAAUAAAUAAAAUAAUAAGAAAUUUUUCUAGAGCAAAGACCAAAUUGAUUUAUAUAUUCUUUUUUUUUUCUCUCUUGAAAUUUGACAAAAUUCCAUAAUACAAACAAAAUGUUGUAAUAUUGAGUUUUCCAAUUUCAAACCUUUGGAAAAAAAGGAAAGCAAUAUCCAGAAAAUCCGAAGCAAAUAUAACAGCGAUAAUGAAAUAAUUCCUUUUAUAUUACACAGAUCAGAUUAUCAAAUCAAUUUUUCAACUCAUUAGAAGGAGCUUUAGAAUAAAUUAUAUUAUAAUUACACAAAAAUAUUUGCCGACAAAAGAAUGUCACAGAAAGGUCUGACUUUAAUCAUCGGCUGCAUCAGGUCUGCUUACUUUGUUCAGUAUUUUGCCAUCCCGUGAAAAAUUAUUUUUAUAAGUUUUUCUAAUAAAUAUAAUAAUUCAAAAUAAAAAAAUAUUACUUUUAUUAAAAUAGUAACUGGGACAGAAGCAUAAUCGCAACUCACUUUUAUUAAUAUUAGAUAUUCAUUAUGAAUGGUUCAAAAUUCAGCAUAAAUAUCAAAUUUAUAUAUAAAUUUUAAUUUAAUGUAAUUAUACAUAUAAAAUAUAAAUUGUGAUAUCUAUUUAUACAAAAGAUUUUGUUUUUUAUUCAACUAUAUAUAUUAAAAAAAUAAAUAUAUACAUUUAUUUUUGUAUCAGAUUAAAAUAUUUGUUUGUAUAUGUAAUAUGUCAAUAUAAAAUGGUGCUAACUUAAUAAUAUUGUUAGUGAUUUGUGAAAAUUAAAUCAAAUCAAAAUUUUAUGUAUAAAAUCAUAUAAAAUUAAAGUUUAUGUAUUGUAUAACAUUGCACAUUGGAUCAAAUCAAAAUUAUUUUGUUAUUUUUCUGUUAUGUUAUUAAUAAAUUACACAAUCUAAGAAGUUUGGAUUUGGUAGCUUUAACUAUUAAAAUUAUCAUGUUUAAACAAAAGUUAGAAUAAAAAAAGAAAAGAAAAAAGAAGACAAUUCUGCAAGAAAAAAAGUUCAAUACAAAAUAUUUGUUAAUACUAUUAAAAUUCAUCAAUUCAACUUUACGAAGCUUCUCUUAGAAAAUGAUUUUACUCAAUAAUUAACCCGAUACUAUUAUUGUCUUAAGGCUAAUCUACCUUUUCACAGUAGAUGAUUAUAGUCUCAAAAUCAAACAAAAAUUGUUACAAUCACUCUUCUAAAAAUCUCACCUACAAUCAAUAAUAUCUCUCCAACAAAUACCUAAACAAAGAGUAUCACAAUACAUAAUAACUCUGUGCCAAAUCAAUGACAUAUUUUCAAAAAUCAAAUAACAAGCCUUCAAACUUUAAUCACCAAUCAUUUCAAACAAUAUUAUCCAUUAAAUUUCUCCAAACAAUUUGAUUAGUUUGAAUUCUUGAAAGAUAAGGAUAGAGUUCACACAUCUUUAAAUUCUUCUUUUCUCUUCAAGAGUAUUAUCCAAUAAAUAACAUUAAGCUUGAUCAUAUCUAGCUUCCUAAAUUACCUACAUUUAUUGCCUAAAUAUACUUUAUAAAAUAAUUACUUAAAUUAUAAUACCAACAAAAAUAUAAAUAAUUUAAUUGUCACAAACUGGUCUAUAAUAUUACCAUGAAACAUAGUCCACGUAUCAUUAUAAACUUUAAAUUAAAAGAGAAAAAAAAUGAUAGCUUUGACCACAGGUUUGGGGAUAACCAUCACUAAUGUGUUGAAUUAUGAGGAUAUUGUGGUUGAAAUCAAAAUGUAAAGCAAGUCCAGGGAAUCUUUGCCUUUUUUGCAGUCAAAUGAGAUUUUUCUAAUGUCUUUUUUUUAGUUUCCCAUUUUGGAUUUCUUACAUCAUCCUCAACAAAGUCUCACUCACGGACUCAAAAACUGUGCUUCCUAAUGAGUUUCAACUCAUAUUGUAUUUAUUAAGUUAAAUAUUAGCUAUAAUAUCUGUUAAAUAUGACUCCUAUUUUUAGUCAAAUUUGAAAAAUAAUCUUUCAGUUAAACUCUGUUCACUUGUUUCAAUCAAACAUUGUGUUUACGUUUUGAGGGUUCUUUGUUUUCGAAGUUUAGUCUUUAUCUCCAUCUUUUAUAUUCUUCGUUCUUUUGUCAUUAUAGUAAAAUUACCUUUACCCGUGGUUUUUUAUCCUCUUUGGAGGGAUUUUUUCACGUUAAAUUUGUGUGUUCAAUUUCUUAAUUUAUUUCGCUAUUUUUCUUGUUCGUUGCUUAAUCGAGUUGAUCCUAACAAUAUCUAUAAUAAAAUAAUAUAUAACAUUAAAUAAAUUGAGAUAAAUAGAGUUUUCGGCAGAACAUCAACGACUUUUGAUACAAUGUUGUACCAUUCUAAAAUGAAAUAUUUGAUGUGGAUAAGGAUAGUGCAUGAGGAUUUUCAAUUUUUGGAGGGAUAUUAGUCAUGUUGGCCUACAAAAUGUAGUGUCUCAAGCAACAUGGCAAACAAGGUUGCUUUCCAUUGGGAACCACCUCCUCCCGGGUGGAUAAAGUUUAAUGUGGCCGGUGUAGCUUUGGAAGACGAAGCGGGUUAUGGUGGGGUCUUGAGUGAUGAUAAAGGAGUGGCUUGUGCUUUGUUCUCAAAACCGAUUGUGGCCAAGUGAUCAGAAACAAUUGAGAUAAUAGUCAUUAAAACAGUCGUGGAACUAUAUAUUGGGUUGAGACGGCAGGUGAAAAUCUCAUUAAUUAUUGAAAUUAGUUUGUGUGUUGCUUUGGAGUCGCUGAUGAAUAGGAAUUAUAAAUUGUGGUCAUUAAGAAAUCUAUUUAGUGAUAUCAACUACAACAUUAACCAGCUGAAUUGAUUUCAAUUCGUACUUAUUCACCGGUAAGGUAAUGGUAUGGCUAAUGCUCUGACAAAAGUAAGUAUAUCAAGACCUUCGUUUUUUAUGGCCUGGUAAUGAAUUUUGCUUACUAUCUUUUAGUAGUGUUUGAGUGGAGGGUAUUUGUCUUAGGUUGAGUGUUGUAAUCUUGUUGUGCUUAAAAGAGGUUGCUUUUAUCAAACAUUUUUCUCGGUUUGCUAUAUUUUUCAAGAAAAAAGAAGAAGAAAUAAAACAAGUUAAAUAAUGUAAGUUUUUUCAUAUCCAUUGGAAAUACAAUAAACCCUCGUAGAAAAGCACUUAAAAAAGUAUUAGACUUAUUUUAUAUCAAUCUCCAUAAGAAAAUUUAAACAACAAAGUAUCUAAUGAUAAUAUUGAUGUACCGUAAAUACUGAAUCAUAAUUUUAAAAACCAAACACAAACACAAACACGAACACGAACACGAUAAGAAAGAUGAGAAAGAAUGUAGGAACAAUGAUGACUUAGCAUUGGAAACCAGUAGGAACAUUCCUUGAGCAAACGUUGAGAAGCAAGCUAAGGGAAACUGGGAUGUUAAGGUUGAUGCCUAAGAUGUUAGCUCUGAUAGCGGUGCAAAGGCAAGCAGCGGCUUCGAGGUCCACAAGACCGUUGAGAAGGGAACAACAUGGCAUCACCGGGGGUGAACCAACGGUGACAUUGACUAAGUUAAGCACAUUGGCACAUA
rnacentral:lncRNA from 1 species